AUUGAACGCUGGCGGCAUGCCUUACACAUGCAAGUCGAACGGUAACGGGCCUUCGGGUGCCGACGAGUGGCGAACGGGUGAGUAAUGUAUCGGAACGUACCUUUCAGUGGGGGAUAACGUAGCGAAAGUUACGCUAAUACCGCAUAUUCUGUGAGCAGGAAAGCAGGGGAUCGCAAGACCUUGCGCUGAUUGAGCGGCCGAUAUCAGAUUAGCUAGUUGGUGAGGUAAAGGCUCACCAAGGCGACGAUCUGUAGCGGGUCUGAGAGGAUGAUCCGCCACACUGGAACUGAGACACGGUCCAGACUCCUACGGGAGGCAGCAGUGGGGGAAUUUUGGACAAUGGGGGCAACCCUGAUCCAGCCAUGCCGCGUGAGUGAAGAAGGCCUUCGGGUUGGUAAAGCGUCUUUCGGUCCGGGAACGAAAGUACGUAUAGGGCGUAAUACCCUCGUGCGGAUGACGGUACCGG
rnacentral:rRNA from 1 species